rnacentral:rRNA from 1 species
GACGAACGCUGGCGGCGUGCUUAACAUAUGCAAGUCGAACGGAAAGGCCCUGCUUUUGUGGGGUGCUCGAGUGGCGAACGGGUGAGUAACACGUGAGUAACCUGCCCUUGACUUUGGGAUAACUUCAGGAAACUGGGGCUAAUACCGGAUAGGAGCUCCUGCUGCAUGGUGGGGGUUGGAAAGUUUCGGCGGUUGGGGAUGGACUCGCGGCUUAUCAGCUUGUUGGUGGGGUAGUGGCUUACCAAGGCUUUGACGGGUAGCCGGCCUGAGAGGGUGACCGGCCACAUUGGGACUGAGAUACGGCCCAGACUCCUACGGGAGGCAGCAGUGGGGAAUAUUGCACAAUGGGCGGAAGCCUGAUGCAGAAACGCCGCGUGCGGGAUGACGGCCUUCGGGUUGUAAAAAGCUUUCGCCUGUGACGAAGCGUGAGUGACGGUAAUGGGUAAAGAAGCACCGGCUAACUACGUG